rnacentral:rRNA from 1 species
GACGAACGCUGGCGGCGUGCUUAACACAUGCAAGUCGAACGGAAAGGCCCUGCUUUUGUGGGGUGCUCGAGUGGCGAACGGGUGAGUAACACGUGAGUAACCUGCCCUUGACUUUGGGAUAACUUCAGGAAACUGGGGCUAAUACCGGGUAGGAGCUCCUGCUGCAUGGUGGGGGUUGGAAAGUUUCGGCGGUUGGGGAUGGACUCGCGGCUUAUCAGCUUGUUGGUGGGGUAGUGGCUUACCAAGGCUUUGACGGGUAGCCGGCCUGAGAGGGUGACCGGCAACAUUGGGACUGAGAUACGGCCCAGACUCCUACGGGAGGCAGCAGUGGGGAAUAUUGCACAAUGGGCGGAAGCCUGAUGCAGCAACGCCGCGUGCGGGAUGACGGCCUUCGGGUUGUAAACCGCUUUCGCCUGUGACGAAGCGUGAGUGACGGUAAUGGGUAAAGAAGCACCGGCUAACUACGUG